UACGUAGGGUGCGAGCGUUUGUCCGGAAUUAUUGGGCGUAAAGGGCUCGUAGGCGGUUUGUCGCGUCGGGAGUGAAAUCCACUGGCUUAACUGGUGGCUUGCUUUCGAUACGGGCAGACUGGAGGUAUGCAGGGGGAGAACGGAAUUCCUGGUGUAGCGGUGAAAUGCGCAGAUAUCAGGAGGAACACCGUGUGCAAAGGGCGUCUCUGGGGCAAUGACCGCUGAGGACG
rnacentral:rRNA from 1 species